rnacentral:rRNA from 1 species
UGGGGAAUAUUGCACAAUGGGCGAAAGCCUGAUGCAGCGACGCCGCGUGAGGGAUGACGGCCUUCGGGUUGUAAACCUCUUUCAGCAGGGACGAAGCGCAAGUGACGGUACCUGCAGAAGAAGCACCGGCUAACUACGUGCCAGCAGCCGCGGUAAUACGUAGGGUGCAAGCGUUGUCCGGAAUUACUGGGCGUAAAGAGUUCGUAGGCGGUUUGUCGCGUCGUUUGUGAAAACCAGCAGCUCAACUGCUGGCUUGCAGGCGAUACAGGCAGACUUGAGUACUGCAGGGGAGACUGGAAUUCCUGGUGUAGCGGUGAAAUGCGCAGAUAUCAGGAGGAACACCGGUGGCGAAGGCGGGUCUCUGGGCAGUAACUGACGCUGAGGAACGAAAGCGUGGGUAGCGAACAGG